rnacentral:lncRNA from 1 species
UCUUCGACACAAGAAAGGGGUGUAGAAAAAUACUUUUUUCUUGUGUCGAAACGAAAGAGUAAUGAUUCUUGAUCCUGUCUGUUAAAAAUCCCUAGUCUUGGUUUCGAUUUUUCCAGAUGUAUCAGAAACCCCUUACGUAUAAUAUACUAAGUGGUGGACAAACAAAACAAAAAAAGAGAGGAAAUUUUAUUCAUUAAAUAAAACUUCUUCAAUCAACUUAUCUUAUACAAAAUUUGAUGAUGAAAUAUGAAAACAAUAAAAAA